rnacentral:rRNA from 1 species
GUGGGGAAUAUUGCGCAAUGGAGGCAACUCUGACGCAGCCAUGCCGCGUGCAGGAAGAAGGCGCUACGCGUUGUAAACUGCUUUUAACCGGGAAGAAACCCCAGGACGUGUCCUGGGUUGACGGUACCGGAGGAAUAAGCACCGGCUAACUUCGUGCCAGCAGCCGCGGUAAUACGAAGGGUGCAAGCGUUAUCCGGAUUCAUUGGGAUUAAAGGGUGCGUAGGCGGAGCGUUAAGUCAGUGGUGAAAUCCUGCAGCUUAACUGUAGACUUGCCAUUGAUACUGGCGCUCUUGAGUGCGCUUGAAGUGGGCGGAAUGUGCCGUGUAGCGGUGAAAUGCUUAGAUAUGGCACAGAACACCAAUUGCGAAGGCAGCUCACUAAGGCGAUACUGACGCUGAGGCACGAAAGCGUGGGGAUCGAACAGGAUUAGAAACCCCGGUAGUCC